AGUACUCGAGUGGCGAACGGGUGAGUAACACGUGGGUAAUCUGCCCUGCACUCUGGGAUAAGCCUGGGAAACUGGGUCUAAUACUGGAUAUGACCUUUCUCCUUAUGGGGUUUGGUGGAAAGUUUUUCGGUGUAGGAUGAGCCCGCGGCCUAUCAGCUUGUUGGUGGGGUGAUGGCCUACCAAGGCGACGACGGGUAGCCGGCCUGAGAGGGUGAUCGGCCACAUUGGGACUGAGAUACGGCCCAG
rnacentral:rRNA from 1 species